rnacentral:rRNA from 1 species
AUACGGAGGAUGCAAGCGUUAUCCGGAUUUAUUGGGUUUAAAGGGUGCGUAGGCGGUUUGCUAAGCGGGAGGUGAAAUGCCGGCGCUCAACGUCGGAAGUGCCUCCCGAACUGGUGGACUGGAAUGACUCUGCCGUGGGAGGAAUGUGUAGUGUAGCGGUGAAAUGCUUAGAGAUUACACAGAACACCGAUUGCGAAGGCAUCUCACGAAGGGUUGAUUGACGCUGAGGCACGAAAGCGUGGGGAUCAAACAGGAUUAAAUACCCUGGUAGUCCACGCAGUAAACGAUGAUGGCUAACCGCUGGUUUUUUCGGAUCAGUGGCCAAGCGAAAGCGAUAAGCCAUCCACCUGGGGAGUACGACCGCAAGGUUGAAACUCAAAUGAAUUGACGGGG